UGGAUUCUCAUACCUCACUCUCAAAUCUGGAGGGGUUUUUCUUGCGUCUACGGCUUGGUAAAUCUGAAACAGGAUUAGGCGGAACUAGAUACUAUGUGUCAUGUAUAACUGGCACAACAGGUUCUCAGAGCGAAAGUCAUCCACAGAAUGCCAAAAAAUCUAUAUCUGUCAUUGUUGGGGAGAUUAGAUGUGUGGUUGAGGCCCAGUAUGUAUCCAACCAUGAUUUCCUUGAGUAAGAGAGCUGAAAUAAGCGAAAGGCUACCCUGCAUUGAGAAUGAGAGCUCGACCCAUCACUUAAAGAUCUUGCAGGAGAGUUGGAAGGAGC